GACAGAGGGUGCAAGCGUUGUCCGGAAUUAUUGGGCGUAAAGAGCUCGUAGGCGGUCUGUCGCGUCUGCUGUGAAAACUCAGGGCUUAACCCUGAGCUUGCAGUGGGUACGGGCAGACUAGAGUGCGGUAGGGGAGACUGGAAUUCCUGGUGUAGCGGUGAAAUGCGCAGAUAUCAGGAAGAACACCCGUGGCUAAGGCGGCUCUCUAGUACGGUACUGACGCUGAGACGCGAAAGCGUGGGGAGCAAACAGG
rnacentral:rRNA from 1 species